GGGUUUUUAUGGGGUUUGGAAUGGGAUUUUAUGGGAUUUGUGGGGUCCUGGUGGGCCCAGGUGUGCAAGAACUUCAGCACCACCAAAACCUUCACCAAGGUCUGAUUUGGGGGAUUUAUGGGGUUUUUAUGGGAUUUAUGGGGUUUUUAUGGGAUUUAUGGGGUUUUUAUGGGGUUGGGAAUGGGAUUUUAUGGGAUUUGUGGGGUCCUGGUGGGCCCAGGUGUGCAAGAACUUCAGCACCACCAAAACCUUCACCAAGGUCUGAUUUAUGGGAUUUAUGGGGUUUUUAUGGGAUUUAUGGGGUUUUUAUGGGGUUUUUAUGGGAUUUAUGGGAUUUGGAAUGGGAUUUAUGGGGUCCUGAUGGACCCAGGUGUGCAAGAACUUCAGCACCACCAAAACCUUCACCAAGGUCUGGUUUGGGGGAUUUAUGAGAUUUAUGGGGUUUUUAUGGGGUUUUUAUGGGAUUUAUGGGGUUUUUAUGGGUUUUUAUGGGAUUUAUGGGGUUUUAUGGGAUUUAUGGGGUUGGGAAUGGGAUUUUAUGGGAUUUGUGGGGUCCUGAUGGGCCCAGGUGUGCAAGAACUUCAGCACCACCACCAACAACAUCCAGUCCCGCAUCACCAAAACCUUCACCAAGGUCUGAUUUGGGGGAUUUAUGGGGUUUUUAUGGGAU